CAUUGAAAGACUUGCCAGAAAUAGACAGGAGUGGAGGAGCUUUGUUGCUGCCCGAAAUGCCAGAGGCAUAAUGGGAACAUCAUGAUGAUGAUGAUAUUCAGGGCUGUUUCA